CCUACGGGUGGCACCAGUGGGGAAUUUUGGACAAUGGGGGCAACCCUGAUCCAGCCAUUCCGCGUGAGUGAAGAAGGCCUUCGGGUUGUAAAGCUCUUUCGGCAGGAACGAAACGGUGGGCUCUAACAUAGUCCGCUAAUGACGGUACCUGAAGAAGAAGCACCGGCUAACUACGUGCCAGCAGCCGCGGUAAUACGUAGGGUGCGAGCGUUAAUCGGAAUUACUGGGCGUAAAGCGUGCGCAGGCGGUUGUGUAAGACAGGUGUGAAAUCCCCGGGCUUAACCUGGGAACUGCGCUUGUGACUGCACGGCUAGAGUAUGGCAGAGGGGGGUGGAAUUCCACGUGUAGCAGUGAAAUGCGUAGAGAUGUGGAGGAACACCGAUGGCGAAGGCAGCCCCCUGGGCCAAUACUGACGCUCAUGCACGAAAGCGUGGGGAGCAAACAGGAUUAGAUACCCUAGUAGUC
rnacentral:rRNA from 1 species